UACAGAGGUCCCCAAGCGUUGUUCGGAUUCAUUGGGCGUAAAGGGUGCGUAGGUGGCGUCGUAAGUCGGGUGUGAAAUCUCGGGGCUUAACUCCGAAACUGCAUUCGAUACUGCGGUGCUUGAGGACUGGAGAGGAGACUGGAAUUUACGGUGUAGCAGUGAAAUGCGUAGAGAUCGUAAGGAAGACCAGUGGCGAAGGCGGGUCUCUGGAAAGUUCCUGACACUGAGGCACGAAGGCCAGGGGAGCAAACGGG
rnacentral:rRNA from 1 species